GGGUUGUGAGGUUAAGCGACUAAGCGUACACGGUGGAUGCCCUGGCAGUCAGAGGCGAUGAAGGACGUGCUAAUCUGCGAAAAGCGUCGGUAAGGUGAUAUGAACCGUUACAGCCGGCGAUGUCCGAAUGGGGAAACCCAGUGCAAUUCGUUGCACUAUCGUUAACUGAAUACAUAGGUUAACGAGGCGAACCGGGGGAACUGAAACAUCUAAGUACCCCGAGGAAAAGAAAUCAACCGAGAUUCCCCCAGUAGCGGCGAGCGAACGGGGAGCAGCCCAGAGUCUGAAUCAGCUUGUGUGUUAGUGGAACGGUCUGGAAAGUCCGACGGUACAGGGUGAUAGUCCCGUACACCAAAAUGCACAGGCUGUGAACUCGAAGAGUAGGGCGGGACACGUGGUAUCCUGUCUGAAUAUGGGGGGACCAUCCUCCAAGGCUAAAUACUCCUGACUGACCGAUAGUGAACCAGUACCGUGAGGGAAAGGCGAAAAGAACCCCGGCGAGGGGAGUGAAAAAGAACCUGAAACCGUGUACGUACAAGCAGUGGGAGCACCUUCGGGUGUGACUGCGUACCUUUUGUAUAAUGGGUCAGCGACUUAUAUUCUGUAGCAAGGUUAACCGUAUAGGGGAGCCGCAGGGAAACCGAGUCUUAACUGGGCGUUAAGUUGCAGGGUAUAGACCCGAAACCCGGUGAUCUAGCCAUGGGCAGGUUGAAGGUUGGGUAACACUAACUGGAGGACCGAACCGACUAAUGUUGAAAAAUUAGCGGAUGACUUGUGGCUGGGGGUGAAAGGCCAAUCAAACCGGGAGAUAGCUGGUUCUCCCCGAAAGCUAUUUAGGUAGCGCCUCGUGAAUUCAUCUUCGGGGGUAGAGCACUGUUUCGGCUAGGGGGUCAUCCCGACUUACCAACCCGAUGCAAACUACGAAUACCGAAGAAUGUUAUCACGGGAGACACACGGCGGGUGCUAACGUCCGUCGUGAAGAGGGAAACAACCCAGACCGCCAGCUAAGGUCCCAAAGUCAUGGUUAAGUGGGAAACGAUGUGGGAAGGCACAGACAGCCAGGAUGUUGGCUUAGAAGCAGCCAUCAUUUAAAGAAAGCGUAAUAGCUCACUGGUCGAGUCGGCCUGCGCGGAAGAUGUAACGGGGCUAAACCAUGCACCGAAGCUGCGGCAGCGACACUAUGUGUUGUUGGGUAGGGGAGCGUUCUGUAAGCCUGCGAAGGUGUGCUGUGAGGCAUGCUGGAGGUAUCAGAAGUGCGAAUGCUGACAUAAGUAACGAUAAAGCGGGUGAAAAGCCCGCUCGCCGGAAGACCAAGGGUUCCUGUCCAACGUUAAUCGGGGCAGGGUGAGUCGACCCCUAAGGCGAGGCCGAAAGGCGUAGUCGAUGGGAAACAGGUUAAUAUUCCUGUACUUGGUGUUACUGCGAAGGGGGGACGGAGAAGGCUAUGUUAGCCGGGCGACGGUUGUCCCGGUUUAAGCAUGUAGGCUGGUUAUCCAGGCAAAUCCGGAUAAUCAAGGCUGAGGUGUGAUGACGAGGCACUACGGUGCUGAAGUAACAAAUGCCCUGCUUCCAGGAAAAGCCUCUAAGCAUCAGGUAACAUUAAAUCGUACCCCAAACCGACACAGGUGGUCAGGUAGAGAAUACCAAGGCGCUUGAGAGAACUCGGGUGAAGGAACUAGGCAAAAUGGUGCCGUAACUUCGGGAGAAGGCACGCUGGUGUGUAGGUGAAGUCCCUGCGGAUGGAGCUGAGACCAGUCGAAGAUACCAGCUGGCUGCAACUGUUUAUUAAAAACACAGCACUGUGCAAACACGAAAGUGGACGUAUACGGUGUGACGCCUGCCCGGUGCCGGAAGGUUAAUUGAUGGGGUUAUCCGUAAGGAGAAGCUCUUGAUCGAAGCCCCGGUAAACGGCGGCCGUAACUAUAACGGUCCUAAGGUAGCGAAAUUCCUUGUCGGGUAAGUUCCGACCUGCACGAAUGGCGUAAUGAUGGCCAGGCUGUCUCCACCCGAGACUCAGUGAAAUUGAACUCGCUGUGAAGAUGCAGUGUACCCGCGGCAAGACGGAAAGACCCCGUGAACCUUUACUAUAGCUUGACACUGAACAUUGAGCCUUGAUGUGUAGGAUAGGUGGGAGGCUUUGAAGCGUGGACGCCAGUCUGCGUGGAGCCAACCUUGAAAUACCACCCUUUAAUGUUUGAUGUUCUAACGUUGGCCCCUGACCGGGGUUGCGGACAGUGUCUGGUGGGUAGUUUGACUGGGGCGGUCUCCUCCCAAAGCGUAACGGAGGAGCACGAAGGUUAGCUAAUCCUGGUCGGACAUCAGGAGGUUAGUGCAAUGGCAUAAGCUAGCUUGACUGCGAGCGUGACGGCGCGAGCAGGUGCGAAAGCAGGUCAUAGUGAUCCGGUGGUUCUGAAUGGAAGGGCCAUCGCUCAACGGAUAAAAGGUACUCCGGGGAUAACAGGCUGAUACCGCCCAAGAGUUCAUAUCGACGGCGGUGUUUGGCACCUCGAUGUCGGCUCAUCACAUCCUGGGGCUGAAGUAGGUCCCAAGGGUAUGGCUGUUCGCCAUUUAAAGUGGUACGCGAGCUGGGUUUAGAACGUCGUGAGACAGUUCGGUCCCUAUCUGCCGUGGGCGCUGGAGAAUUGAGGGGGGCUGCUCCUAGUACGAGAGGACCGGAGUGGACGCAUCACUGGUGUUCGGGUUGUCAUGCCAAUGGCACUGCCCGGUAGCUAAAUGCGGAAGAGAUAAGUGCUGAAAGCAUCUAAGCACGAAACUUGCCCCGAGAUGAGUUCUCCCUGAGACUUUAAGUCUCCUGAAGGAACGUUGAAGACGACGACGUUGAUAGGCCGGGUGUGUAAGCGCAGCGAUGCGUUGAGCUAACCGGUACUAAUGAACCGUGAGGCUUAACCUUACAACGCCGAAG
rnacentral:rRNA from 1 species